rnacentral:rRNA from 1 species
GACGAACGCUGGCGGCGUGCUUAACACAUGCAAGUCGAACGGAAAGGCCCUGCUUUUGUGGGGUGCUCGAGUGGCGAACGGGUGAGUAACACGUGAGUAACCUGCCCUUGACUUUGGGAUAACUUCAGGAAACUGGGGCUAAUACCGGAUAGGAGCUCCUGCUGCAUGGUGGGGGUUGGAAAGUUUCGGCGGUUGGGGAUGGACUCGCGGCUUAUCAGCUUGUUGGUGGGGUAGUGGCUUACCAAGGCUUUGACGGGUAGCCGGCCUAAGAGGGUGACCGGCCACAUUGGGACUGAGAUACGGCCCAGACUCCUACGGGAGGCAGCAGUGGGGAAUAUUGCACAAUGGGCGGAAGCCUGAUGCAGCAACACCGCGUGCGGGAUGACGGCCUUCGGGUUGUAAACCGCUUUCGCCUGUGACGAAGCGUGAGUGACGGUAAUGGGUAAAGAAGCACCGGCUAACUACGUG